rnacentral:rRNA from 1 species
UACGUAGGGUGCAAGCGUUGUCCGGAAUUACUGGGCGUAAAGCGCGUGUAGGCGGCUCUGCAAGUCGGAUGUGAAAGCCCUGGGCUCAACCUAGGAAGUGCACUCGAAACUGCAGAGCUUGAGUCUCGGAGAGGAUCGCGGAAUUCUCGGUGUAGAGGUGAAAUUCGUAGAUAUCGAGAGGAACACCGGUGGCGAAGGCGGCGAUCUGGACGAUGACUGACGCUGAGACGCGAAAGCGUGGGGAGCAAACAGG